ACUCCUACGGGAGGCAGCAGUAGGGAAUCUUCCGCAAUGGACGAAAGUCUGACGGAGCAACGCCGCGUGAGUGAUGAAGGUUUUCGGAUCGUAAAACUCUGUUGUUAGGGAAGAACAAGUACCGUUCGAAUAGGGCGGUACCUUGACGGUACCUAACCAGAAAGCCACGGCUAACUACGUGCCAGCAGCCGCGGUAAUACGUAGGUGGCAAGCGUUGUCCGGAAUUAUUGGGCGUAAAGCGCGCGCAGGUGGUUUCUUAAGUCUGAUGUGAAAAGCCCCCGGCUCAACGGGAGGGUCAUUGGAAACUGGGAGACUUGAGUGCAGAAGAGGAAAGUGGAAUUCCAAGUGUAGCGGUGAAAUGCGUAGAGAUCUGGAGGAAUACCGGUGGCGAAGGCGGCCCCCUGGACAAAGACUGACGCUCAGGCACGAAAGCGUGGGGAGCAAACAGGAUUAGAUA
rnacentral:rRNA from 1 species